UACGUAUGGUGCAAGCGUUAUCCGGAUUUACUGGGUGUAAAGGGAGCGUAGGCGGCGCGUUAAGUCUGAUGUGAAAACCCGAGGCUCAACCACGGGAGUGCAUUGGAAACUGGCGGGCUGGAGUGCCGGAGAGGUAAGCGGAAUUCCUAGUGUAGCGGUAAAAUGCGUAGAUAUUAGGAGGAACACCAGUGGCGAAGGCGGCUUACUGGACGGCAACUGACGCUGAGGCUCGAAAGCGUGGGGAGCAAACAGG
rnacentral:rRNA from 1 species